UCAUUUUAAUGUUUAUUUUAGGGUUGACUUAAAUGUUUACAAACCAGGCUAUAUUCGUGUUUCAUAGCACCCGAGGAAGCUUUUGUAAACCUUAAUUCUCACACUCAAUUUUCAGUAAAAAAUUUUGUACCUGAAAAUAUGGUCAAGUCCUGUUUUAUCCGUUUUAAAUCAAAAAUUACCUUAAGUUUUAAGCAACGUCGGUUUUACUUUGUAAUAUUUAUUCGUACCGUUUGCAUUAAUAUUGUACUUCUCAACAUGACCCAAGACGAAACUGUUUCUUUGGGGAUCGGUAUAACAAAUUUUACUAUGCGCAAUUUUCUUGUCAAGUUUUCCUGUUCAAUGCAUAAUAUUAUGAAGUUUCUAUCAGAAUUGUUCCUUUCCAAUCCAGUGUAUUCAAAGGGAUACGAACAGAGAGUACUAAUUCCAGGUUCUUUAUGCGCCCUUAAAAAAAUGGGGGGAGGGGAGUUAGCAACACUUCAGGAGCCCUGGACUUUUAAUUACUAGUAAGCUAAACCAACCACUUCCUAAACCUAGCUCGCCCAGGGUAGCUUUUCUCUUUCCGUCUGAGGCCACGACCUAUUCCGACCCCACUGUGCUGCAAAAGGGGACGGCCCCAGAGUGACCUGGAAAAAAAAAAGGAUCAAAGGCUAUAAACCGCUUCAAACGCGGAAAGAAAGAUCACUCGACGCCCAAGGAGGGCAGAAGCUUUCAUUGGCCACAUUUGAAAAAGAAGGUGACUCCCUAACGCGUUCUCCUGACGCACAGCAAGACACAGCCCCCGGGGUCCGAAGUGACUAACAGGUAGCACGAAGAGAGCCACCGCCGGCCGGAAGUGGAAGUGAGCCCGGGCGGGGGGUGGGAGGGGUGGGAAAGACAGGCCGCACCGGGCCUGCGCAGUCUGCAGGCAUUGCAGCGCGCAGGCGCAGCUGGGCGUGACUGGGUGACGCCGGGAGCGUGGGCUGCGCCUGUCGCGAAUCCGGUUCCGCCCUCCCCUUGUCAGCCCACCCUACGGAGAGAGCGCCCGAGCUCCCUUUCCCAGAGUGCUCCGCGCCGUGAAGAAGCGGCUCCCGGGGACUGGGGGCAUUUUGUGUUGGCUGGAGCUAGAGUAACAAGAUGGCGGCCUCGGCGGAGUGACGGCUUCCCUCCGGGCCGGAGCCGGCGGCAGUGGUGGCAGCGGUACCGCCCGCCCUCGUUCACCGCGCCCCUUUCCCAGCCCGCGACGUCGCCGCGACCACGAAAAAAAAUCAGCGGCGGCCGCCCGAGAACAACAAGCGGCCGAGCUUCAGCAGCCGCGACCACCCUUCACGAACCGCGGCCUGGCCCUUCAGCGAGCGGCGGCGGCGGCGAUCCGGCUUCUCUCUGCCGCCUGUGCGCCCCGUGACGCCGACAGAGCCUUGGGUUUAGGUUGCCCGCCGCGCUUCUCACUUCUGCCGCGGGUGGAACAGCCCCGGAGGCUUCCAUCCUCUUCCUGAGGUGUCGGGGCUCGGCCCCCCGCCUCCAUCUUCGCGUCUCAGGAUGGCGAGCAGCAGCGGCUCCAAGGCCGAAUUUAUCGUCGGUGGAAAAUACAAACUGGUGCGGAAGAUCGGAUCUGGCUCUUUCGGGGACAUUUAUCUAGCGAUCAACAUCACCAAUGGCGAGGAAGUGGCAGUGAAACUAGAAUCCCAGAAGGCCAGGCAUCCCCAGUUGCUGUACGAGAGCAAACUGUAUAAGAUUCUUCAAGGUGGGGUUGGCAUCCCUCACAUACGGUGGUAUGGGCAAGAAAAAGACUAUAAUGUACUAGUCAUGGAUCUCCUGGGACCCAGCCUUGAAGACCUCUUCAACUUCUGUUCAAGGAGGUUCACUAUGAAGACCGUACUUAUGUUAGCUGACCAGAUGAUCAGUAGAAUUGAAUAUGUGCAUACAAAGAAUUUUAUACACAGAGACAUUAAACCAGAUAACUUCCUAAUGGGUAUUGGGCGUCACUGUAAUAAGUGUUUAGAAUCUCCAGUGGGGAAGAGGAAAAGAAGCAUGACUGUUAGUCCUUCUCAGGACCCAUCUUUCUCAGGAUUAAACCAGUUAUUCCUUAUUGAUUUUGGUUUGGCCAAAAAGUACAGAGACAACAGGACAAGGCAACACAUACCAUACAGAGAAGAUAAAAACCUCACUGGCACUGCCCGAUACGCCAGCAUCAAUGCACAUCUUGGUAUUGAGCAGAGUCGCCGAGAUGACAUGGAAUCUUUAGGAUAUGUUUUGAUGUAUUUUAAUAGAACCAGUCUGCCGUGGCAAGGACUGAAGGCUGCAACAAAGAAACAAAAAUAUGAAAAGAUUAGUGAAAAGAAGAUGUCCACUCCUGUUGAGGUGUUGUGUAAGGGGUUUCCUGCAGAAUUUGCCAUGUACUUAAAUUACUGUCGUGGGCUGCGCUUUGAGGAAGCUCCGGAUUACAUGUAUCUGAGGCAGCUAUUCCGCAUCCUUUUCAGGACCCUGAACCACCAAUAUGACUACACAUUUGAUUGGACGAUGUUAAAGCAGAAAGCAGCCCAGCAGGCAGCCUCUUCCAGUGGGCAGGGUCAGCAGGCCCAAACCCCCACAGGCAAGCAAACUGACAAAACCAAGAGUAACAUGAAAGCCUUUUUCAUUGUGGACAGUAAAGCUGGAGAGUAACACAGCCCAAGAAGAAAUGAAGAUGAAAGUCCAAGAGAUCUCUCCCAGGCUUGCUGGGCCUGUUAACUCUUCAGCAUGUCAGCUUCUGUGUGGAUGGUGACUGUCAGAAGACUGUAACAGUGUUGCUGAACAAUCUGCCAGUUGGGAAGGAUUCAUUCAUAACAGGAACAGAGAAGCUGGUGCCUCCUUUCUAACUGAGGUUACAGUGAAGAUGCGCUCUGGAACCAGAGGUGCCGCCCAGACUACAAGAUUUUAAAAUCAAACAAAAGACUAAAGCACACUGGAAGAGAGUGCUUGUUAGUAGUUGAAGAUUGGAUGUUGGCCUGCUGAGAUGUUUUUCCUUCUUGAGUACUAUCAAAGGACAGCUCUUUGGAGAAAGGAUGCCUGGGUAGAAGAACAUCUGCCGUUGGCCUGUCUAGCUGAAGAAAUACAUCUGGAUUUGACUGCUGUACUCUACCAGGAAUAUUGUUAGACUAACCUUCAGCCGGUCCCUAAACAAUGUUGACCACAGACUGAACUGGCAGGUCCACACAGAUAGACUUCUGACCUAGAGCUUCCCUAUUAUUAAAAAACUAAGUUGUCUUGUAUUUUGGCUUAUAGUUUGUAGUGGUUUUCCCCUUCAAAUCUGCUUGCAUGAAGAGAUAUUCAAUGUGACAAUCAAAUUACUAAAAUACAGUUACAUGAUUACAGCAAAUUAUGAUAAGGGGGGAAACCCUAGGUGUAGUAGCUGGGAAAUCGCCUUUGUUUACAGUAUUUAUGAAUAACUUUUUAAUACUUAGAGCCAUAUCCUAAUGGGGUGAAGGCCAUUUUUGUUUAACUAGUUCAUGGUUCCUUGGAUUUAAUAGCUUCUUAGCCUGUGAAAUCAGAAUUAGAUCACAGGUGUGAUAGCCUUUUAAAGUAUGCCUUACUGUGUGGCUGGGGAGCUAGUCCAAUAGAUAAAGCACUAGCAGACAAUGAAAACCAGCAUUCAGACCCUUAAAAAUGGGUGGAUAUGUAGGCCAAGUGUAAUCCUUGCACUGGGAAUGUAGAGAUAGUAUCCCACAAAGCAAGCUGGCCAAAUUGUAAACUCUAGGUUCAGUGUAAGACCCUGCAUAAAUACAAGGUGGUGAGCCAUCUGGAAAGAUACUUGAUUUUAGCAUCUUACACAUAAAAGAGCACAGAACGUUUUUGGUUUUUUAUUUUUUAAGUUUACCAGUGCUAUUUCAUCUUUAUUCAAUGUUUGCUUUAUGCCAUCUUAGGAUUAUGGAAUCAGGGUUGGCUAUGUGCCUGUUCUUUCAUAGGAGAUACUCUGGGAAGUGGGGUAAAACACAUCUCUGCCCUCAGAGCUUAGGAUAGUGUGUUUAUCAGUACACGAGGAUGGCUAGUCUUCCUCCCAGAUGAGAAGUUUUUAGUAACAGGUGAAAAUACAUUUAUUUUUUUUAAAUGAUGAUUAUAAAUGUGUAAUAAUGUCUUUACAAUUUUAUUCUUGAAAACAUUUGUAAUAAAAAGUAAGUAGUAGGAAAAUUUUAUAUAUCCCAUGAAGCCCAAAGGAAAAAUCCAGUGCUUGAAGAGGAAAGGGAGGGGGAGCAGUAUAUUACUGACAGAAGCGUGGGGGUUGUCAUGCUAGUGGUUUGCGUGCUGGUUUUGUUUUUAAAAAGUCAAGAAAUGGUCUGAAAUGUAUGAAAUGUAGUUAGGUCACCUCAGGUUUGGAAGGGAAUAGACCAAAUGGCCUUUAUGGGAUGUUUGUGUUACUAAGAGGUAGACUGUUUAUUCUGUCUUAAGUAAAAAAAAAAAAAAAGACCAGCCAUUAAAGGUAGCAGCCCUGGGUUCCCUCAUGAGGAGAGAGAACUGUGGUGGAUCAGGACAAUUUGGAAAGUACAUGGAGUAUUUCUAGUUUGGGAGUUAGUCAUGAGACUUGGUCUUUUUAAUGCAGCAAUGGAAGUAGAAAAGUAGUAAGUUUAGCACGAGGGUUUUAUAUAGAAAUCAUUUCUUAGUGGUAUAAAAAGUUCAUGUUUAAUGAAUUCAUUAGAGCUUUCUAUUAUGUAAUCUCUUAUUAGAUGGUGUACACAGAAAUUCAUGCAUUUACUCUAGUUAGAAUCAUAUUCUAGUGCUGCAGUAAUAUCUUUUUCAUUGCUUGUUGGGUUUUUUAAAUUUAGUGUGUUCUUGGUAUCAAAGAAGAAGAAUUGGGCAUCCUCUUGUGACUGUAACAACUCUGAUAUAGCUUAGGGUUGGGUGCUGAGGCCCUGAUUGAUUAUAGACUGCUUCCUGGGUUAUUCAGAGUGAGGCUGGGGAGUGGCUUUAAUCAGAGAUGCAUGUACUGCCUUGUGAAAGUUUAGGUUGGUGAUUUUCCAGAUAAAAACACAGCAUUUCCAAGUGAUUAUUGUCCUACUUGUACCUAAUUUGGGGAGUACUUGUAACAUCUUUUUUCUGUUUCAAUUUUUUAAUAGGUUUCUAAGCAUGAAUUGUGGAAGAGAAGCAGCAGAGCAGACGAUUGGAGCAGCGUUUGUUUCUCCCCAAACCUAGACAUUUUAGUUCAUAUGUACACUAGCCAGUGGUUGUGGACAACCAUUUACUUGGUGUAAAGAACUUCAUUUCGGUAUAAACUGGCUCUGGGUAGCACUGCGGAUCCUGAGCUGUAGCCACUGUCCUUGUGAAUAUUAACUGAGGUAGUGAAACAUGGUGUCCGGUUUUCUAUUGCAUUUUUUUUCAAGUGGAAAAGUUAACUAAAUGGUUGACACACAAAUUGGUGGAGAAAUUGUGCAUAUGCCAAUUUUUAUUUUAUUUUUUUGUUAAAAUCUUUUAUUUUGAACUAUACUGCUUUGAGAUCUCAUUUCAGAAGAACGGCAUGAACAGUCUUCAGCCACAGUUGUGAUGGUUGUAAAUGUUCACAAUUGUGUGUUCUUAGGGUUUUCCAUCCCUGGGGUUUGCAAGUUGUUAACUUAAAACAUUCUUUAAAUGGCUGGCUUCUUGUUUGCAAGCCAGCUGAUAUGGUAGCAACCAAAGAUUCCAGUGUUUGAGCAUUUGAAAGACUCUGCCUGCUUACCUGUGCUAGAAAUAACAGCAUCUAAAGUGAAGACUUAAGAAAAAAAACAUAGCGACUACUAGAUUCUCUUUAGGACUCUGCAUUAACUCUAUAAUGUUCUUGCUAUUAAAAAAAAGCAUAUUUGUCACGGAAAUUUAGUUACCGUCUUACAACUGAACAUGUAUGUGUGUUGCUUAGAUAAAUGUAAUCACUGUAAACAUCUAUACGAUCUGGGAUUUUGUUUUUAUUUUGAAAUGGGAGCUUUUUGUUUACAAGUUCAUUAAAAACUAAAAACUGUUUCUGUAAGGAAGUGAAAUUUUUUUAAACAACAAAAUGCCUUGGCUGACUCACUAUGAAGUGUGUGUGUGUGUGUGUGUACAUAUAUAUACAUAUAUAUGCACACAUAUAUAUACCAUCCCCAGUUUUUUGUUUUGUUUUAUAUUUUGAGACAGAGUCUCAUUUUGUAGCUCUAGCUGGCCUGGAACUUUAUAGAUCAGGCUGGCCUAGAACUCUCAGAUCCUCCUGACUCUGCCUCUCUAAAGAGCUGGGACUGAAAAAAAUGAGCCACCAUGUCCAGCUUUCCCUAAUUUUUUGAUAGACUACUUCAAGCCAUUUGUUAUAUGAUAUUCCUUUGCUGCAAAAGGUUUGGUUUUGGGUUUUUGGGGGGGGGGGGCUGUUCUUGAUCUGAAGAGAAAGGUAUUCUUUGGCUUUCUGUUUGUAGCUCACAGGCACACUACCCCGUGCUACAGCUGUGGGAGCUUUGGCAUUGACUUCUGCCGCCACUGACUAGCAGAUGAACUGAUGACAGUGAAAGUGUUAAAGGGUUUAACUAUAUUACAAAAUAUGUUUCUUCAAAAUCCCUGUGAAAUGGCUGUAAGGUUGUCAUACAGUGUGAAGUUAGUGAUUGUUGAUCCUCAAGCCCCACCUCUCUAAGUACCUGUGCACGCUUCCCCCAGUCUUUCUUGGUUGCUCUUCAGUUGUUUCUCUGAUCCAAGAGAAGGAAAAACUUACAGUAAUUCUUUAAAUGGUGUAAUUUAUUCAUUUACAGCAUGUCAAGAUAAAUUAAAAAGAAAAUUUGUCUGAAAAUGCUGCCAGGAGCCUAUUGUGUAACUAGGUGUUGUGUAUAAUCUUGAAUUGUAAAUUGACCCAUGUUUGGUAAGAUUGUAUCAGAAUUGAUUUGUAGUAGUUUUCCUUUUCUUCUCCCCCCCCCCCUUUUUUUUGAAACAGCAAUAAUUAACUCCAUGAUUGCCACAUUCUGUCACCAAGAGAUGUGUUAUUACCGUAAAGCUGAAAUAAUCUUCUGAGGUGGAUCUGAUGGUGGGGUGGCAGCUUCAUGCUUGUCAGUUUCUUGACUAAUAAACCCUUUGAUACUUUUAGCGGGAAAUCAGUCUCAUAAAGCUAUUUUGAGUAUAGUUUGUGUAAAAUAAAACUGUUCAGCUUUGGCAAUAGCUUUCCAAGUUGAACUCCCUCUCUCUAUCUAGCAGGAUAUUUUUUCAGUGCUUUUAUUUACUAUGCACUUAGACUAUGCACUUUUUCUGAAAUAUUUUUGUAACACUUUUUUGUAUUUUUGCCAUUUGAAAAGGUUGUGGUGUUGUUGGUAUGUCAUUAAGUUGCAGGUUUGAAACUGCUGUUAGCUUUGUGACUCAGAAUCUAGAAAUGUUCUGUCCUGGUAUUUUGUCGUCCCAUCUACAGCUGGAGCUGGAAUCCGUUGAUCUUCUAGCUACCAUUCAUUUUCUUCACAGUUCACAAAGAAGAGCGUGAAAUUCAGUGAAUGCAGUUACUAAUCCUGUCUGGAAAUGAAUCUCAUUUCACCAAAUCAAUUGUGUUUUUCCACUAAAAUGAUGGUGUAUGUUGAAGACAUCACUCUGAGAUUGGAAGACCUCACCACUAAAGGCUCCAUCCACAGUGGCUGGCUCAGCUGAACUUUAGGUUGCCAUUCUUUUCUUUGUUCACCAUUGGGUGAUGCAGCUUUUUAACUGUUGGGAGAUGGCCAUUCUAACUACUGUUGAAUGUCUCUGUUUUGGGAAGGUAAAAUAAGAAAAUAAAAAAAGAAUAUAUAUGAAGGGAGAGGCUGGUUGUCUCUCCCAUGUGGUUGUGAAUAUGCUCUUAUGACCCACAAGUGGACAUACAAGGCUUAUCUUUGCUGUGAUUUCCUCUCUGCUUUAAGUCUAUCAUACUGUAAAUAUUUCAGAGUGUACUGUAACACGAGCUGAAUUGUGAUAAAUCAUGAACUGCAGAGACAGACGGUGUAGUCUAAGCCAGUAGGCUGUUCUCCCUGGAGAUUGCUGGGAAUAAUAAAGAAUAGUUUAUUGUAA